rnacentral:rRNA from 1 species
GGCGCGCGAUACAGGGUGACAGCCCCGUACACAAAAAUGCACAUGCUGUGAGCUCGAUGAGUAGGGCGGGACACGUGGUAUCCUGUCUGAAUAUGGGGGGACCAUCCUCCAAGGCUAAAUACUCCUGACUGACCGAUAGUGAACCAGUACCGUGAGGGAAAGGCGAAAAGAACCCCGGCGAGGGGAGUGAAAAAGAACCUGAAACCGUGUACGUACAAGCAGUGGGAGCACAGAGCAAUCUGUGUGACUGCGUACCUUUUGUAUAAUGGGUCAGCGACUUAUAUUCUGUAGCAAGGUUAACCGAAUAGGGGAGCCGAAGGGAAACCGAGUCUUAACUGGGCGUUAAGUUGCAGGGUAUAGACCCGAAACCCGGUGAUCUAGCCAUGGGCAGGUUGAAGGUUGGGUAACACUAACUGGAGGACCGAACCGACUAAUGUUGAAAAAUUAGCGGAUGACUUGUGGCUGGGGGUGAAAGGCCAAUCAAACCGGGAGAUAGCUGGUUCUCCCCGAAAGCUAUUUAGGUAGCGCCUCGUGAAUUCAUCUCCGGGGGUAGAGCACUGUUUCGGCAAGGGGGUCAUCCCGACUUACCAACCCGAUGCAAACUGCGAAUACCGGAGAAUGUUAUCACGGGAGACACACGGCGGGUGCUAACGUCCGUCGUGAAGAGGGAAACAACCCAGACCGCCAGCUAAGGUCCCAAAGUCAUGGUUAAGUGGGAAACGAUGUGGGAAGGCCCAGACAGCCAGGAUGUUGGCUUAGAAGCAGCCAUCAUUUAAAGAAAGCGUAAUAGCUCACUGGUCGAGUCGGCCUGCGCGGAAGAUGUAACGGGGCUAAACCAUGCACCGAAGCUGCGGCAGCGACGCUUAUGCGUUGUUGGGUAGGGGAGCGUUCUGUAAGCCUGCGAAGGUGUGCUGUGAGGCAUGCUGGAGGUAUCAGAAGUGCGAAUGCUGACAUAAGUAACGAUAAAGCGGGUGAAAAGCCCGCUCGCCGGAAGACCAAGGGUUCCUGUCCAACGUUAAUCGGGGCAGGGUGAGUCGACCCCUAAGGCGAGGCCGAAAGGCGUAGUCGAUGGGAAACAGGUUAAUAUUCCUGUACUUGGUGUUACUGCGAAGGGGGGACGGAGAAGGCUAUGUUGGCCGGGCGACGGUUGUCCCGGUUUAAGCGUGUAGGCUGGUUUUCCAGGCAAAUCCGGAAAAUCAAGGCUGAGGCGUGAUGACGAGGCACUACGGUGCUGAAGCAACAAAUGCCCUGCUUCCAGGAAAAGCCUCUAAGCAUCAGGUAACAUCAAAUCGUACCCCAAACCGACACAGGUGGUCAGGUAGAGAAUACCAAGGCGCUUGAGAGAACUCGGGUGAAGGAACUAGGCAAAAUGGUGCCGUAACUUCGGGAGAAGGCACGCUGAUAUGUAGGUGAAGCGACUUGCUCGUGGAGCUGAAAUCAGUCGAAGAUACCAGCUGGCUGCAACUGUUUAUUAAAAACACAGCACUGUGCAAACACGAAAGUGGACGUAUACGGUGUGACGCCUGCCCGGUGCCGGAAGGUUAAUUGAUGGGGUCAGCGCAAGCGAAGCUCUUGAUCGAAGCCCCGGUAAACGGCGGCCGUAACUAUAACGGUCCUAAGGUAGCGAAAUUCCUUGUCGGGUAAGUUCCGACCUGCACGAAUGGCGUAAUGAUGGCCAGGCUGUCUCCACCCGAGACUCAGUGAAAUUGAACUCGCUGUGAAGAUGCAGUGUACCCGCGGCAAGACGGAAAGACCCCGUGAACCUUUACUAUAGCUUGACACUGAACAUUGAGCCUUGAUGUGUAGGAUAGGUGGGAGGCUUUGAAGUGUGGACGCCAGUCUGCAUGGAGCCGACCUUGAAAUACCACCCUUUAAUGUUUGAUGUUCUAACGUGGACCCGUAAUCCGGGUUGCGGACAGUGUCUGGUGGGUAGUUUGACUGGGGCGGUCUCCUCCUAAAGAGUAACGGAGGAGCACGAAGGUUGGCUAAUCCUGGUCGGACAUCAGGAGGUUAGUGCAAUGGCAUAAGCCAGCUUGACUGCGAGCGUGACGGCGCGAGCAGGUGCGAAAGCAGGUCAUAGUGAUCCGGUGGUUCUGAAUGGAAGGGCCAUCGCUCAACGGAUAAAAGGUACUCCGGGGAUAACAGGCUGAUACCGCCCAAGAGUUCAUAUCGACGGCGGUGUUUGGCACCUCGAUGUCGGCUCAUCACAUCCUGGGGCUGAAGUAGGUCCCAAGGGUAUGGCUGUUCGCCAUUUAAAGUGGUACGCGAGCUGGGUUUAGAACGUCGUGAGACAGUUCGGUCCCUAUCUGCCGUGGGCGCUGGAGAACUGAGGGGGGCUGCUCCUAGUACGAGAGGACCGGAGUGGACGCAUCACUGGUGUUCGGGUUGUCAUGCCAAUGGCACUGCCCGGUAGCUAAAUGCGGAAGAGAUAAGUGCUGAAAGCAUCUAAGCACGAAACUUGCCCCGAGAUGAGUUCUCCCUGACUCCUUGAGAGUCCUGAAGGAACGUUGAAGACGACGACGUUGAUAGGCCGGGUGUGUAAGCGCAGCGAUGCGUUGAGCUAACCGGUACUAAUGAACCGUGAGGCUUAACCUU